AUGGGAUCUUCAGGAGCACGAACAACAUGAGCAAACACAGAAUCUGCCAUUGGAGUUGGAAUUUCAGAGAACAAGUUCAACGAUGUUAUGGAGGUGAGUUCAGUACACCUUCUUUCUUUAAUCUUUAAUCUUUAAUCUUUAAUAAUAAAAAAAAGUAUUGUUCGCUUCUUUGGGGGCUGCGUGGAAUACGCCACCUGUAUCUCUAUCACACAGUGGGCGGUUCAAAACAAGGGACUCGGGACUGCGCCCACUACAAACUUUUCUUUCUUGCUCCAUAGCAUAAUACAACUUCCUUUCUUUCUUUUUUAAUUCUUUUCACUAUGAAAAAAAUACAGACUUUAAUAUAGUACUCCAUUUAACAUUAUUUACUUUCAGUUUUAACUUUUACCUCACCGACAUUUUUUUAUGAUUUAUACUUCUAAAAUCAAUUUAUUUUUAAAUUUUGGUAAGAAAUAAAUUGUAGUAUUUGCUAAUUAAUUUUGAAAAGUAUUUUUACAUAAUAAUUAAUGAUUGAUGAAGUUUUUAAAAAUGCUUCGAACGGCUAAUUUGGACACACUUUUAUUUUAUUUUUUAAAUUAGAAAAGUAAUUCUUUUGGAGAAAAAUAAGUUUUAUUUGACUAUUCCACUUUAAAGAUAAUUACAUUGUGUUUGACUAAUUCAUUUUGAAAAGUAUUUUUGAUAAUUAAAUUAUUUUAUUUUAUUUUUUUAAUUUUUGAUGGCUUAUUCAGCCUUUUAUUUAAUAAACCGAAAAGGGGUCUGUACAAGGCCCAUGGCCCAAACAACAAAGCCAAAACAAAGCAAAAAAUUGGAUGGGUCUAAAAGACCCGAUCCAACACCUAUCUAAUCCCUUACAGAGAGGGCAAAUAUCUAUUUUUGGAAAGUCUCCAGAAGACCAAUUUCCUACUUUGAUGCUUCCCUUCAGAAUCUUCCUCCAAUGUUCUCCAAGUUGAAGCUUGCUGGUAAUGUUAUCUUCCAUUUUGCUUCUUUCCCUGAAAUAUCUAUUCUCUUAAUUGUCCCUUUUUUUUCUUUUUCUUUUUUUUCCGGAAAGUCUUUCCAUUCCUAUGGUGAAGGACCAAUUUGCUGAUAGGAUCUGCAACGGAUCCAGCUGUGAUUGAAGCCACUUAGCUGAGUUGACUCCUUCUCGCUCUACACAACCCUGUACCCCCCUUAUUUUUCGUGUAUACAUGCUCCUGAAAAUCUGUCUAACUUUAUGUAUCCAGCAAUGUCUUCUUGACAAGAUAAAUUAUCUGUUAUGGUAUGGUUUGUCAUGUUUAUCAAAUACUGCGUGAUGUUCUUGCUGUUACUUUCAAGAAUAUUUGUUAAUCUGUGGUGCUCCCUGCUCUUAAAUAUCUUUGUUAAUGCUUGGGCUUCCUGACAUAAUUAAAUUGUGUUUGACUUAUUUUCCUAAAAAAUACUUUUGAG
rnacentral:lncRNA from 1 species